rnacentral:rRNA from 1 species
GACGAACGCUGGCGGCGUGCUUAACACAUGCAAGUCGAACGGUAAGGCCCUUCGGGGUACACGAGUGGCGAACGGGUGAGUAACACGUGGGUGAUCUGCCCUGCACUUCGGGAUAAGCCUGGGAAACUGGGGCUAAUACCGGAUAGGACCACUGCCUGCAUGGGUGGUGGUGGAAAGCGUUUGCGGUGUGGGAUGGGCCCGCGGCCUGUCGGCUUGUUGGUGGGGUGAUGGCCUACCAAGGCGACGACGGGUAGCCGGCCUGAGAGGGUGACCGGCCACACUGGGACUGAGAUACUGCCCAGACCCCUACGGGAGGCAGCAGUGGGGAAUAUUGCACAAUGGGCGCAAGCCUGAUGCAGCGACGCCGCGUGAGGGAUGACGGCCUUCGGGUUGUAAUCCUCCUUCAGCACCGACGAAGCGCAAGUGACGGUAGGUGCAGAAGAAGGACCGGCCAACUACGUGCCAGCCGCCGCGGUAAGAC